GCUCUCCUGAUGGUUAGCGGCGGACGGGUGAGUAACACGUAGGCAACCUGCCUGCAAGACCGGGAUAACCCACGGAAACGUGAGCUAAUACCGGAUAUCUCAUUUCCUCUCCUGAGGGAAUGAUGAAAGACGGAGCAAUCUGUCACUUGCGGAUGGGCCUGCGGCGCAUUAGCUAGUUGGUGAGGUAACGGCUCACCAAGGCGACGAUGCGUAGCCGACCUGAGAGGGUGAACGGCCACACUGGGACUGAGACACGGCCCAGACUCCUACGGGAGGCAGCAGUAGGGAAUCUUCCGCAAUGGGCGAAAGCCUGACGGAGCAACGCCGCGUGAGUGAUGAAGGUUUUCGGAUCGUAAAGCUCUGUUGCCAGGGAAGAACGUCCGAUAGAGUAACUGCUAUCGGAGUGACGGUACCUGAGAAGAAAGCCCCGGCUAACUACGUGCCAGCAGCCGCGGUAAUACGUAG
rnacentral:rRNA from 1 species